GUUGUAUGGUUAAGUGACUAAGCGUACACGGUGGAUGCCUUGGCAGUCAGAGGCGAUGAAGGACGUAGUAACUUGCGAUAAGCGUAGAUGAGGCAGUAACAGCCACUUGAGUCUACGAUUUCCGAAUGGGGAAACCCACUGGCAUAAGCCAGUAUCAUUGAGUGAAUACAUAGCUCAAUGAAGCGAACCGGGAGAACUGAAACAUCUAAGUACCCCGAGGAAAAGAAAUCAACCGAGAUUCCGAAAGUAGCGGCGAGCGAAAUUGGAUUAGCCCUUAAGCUUUACAUGUGUUAGACGAACGGUCUGGAAAGUCCGACGAUACAGGGUGAUAGUCCCGUAGUUGUAGAUGCAUGUUCAGUGAAAUCGAGUAGGGCGGGACACGUGUUAUCCUGUCUGAAUAUGGGGGGACCAUCCUCCAAGGCUAAAUACUCCUGACUGACCGAUAGUGAACCAGUACCGUGAGGGAAAGGCGAAAAGAACCCCUGUGAGGGGAGUGAAAUAGAACCUGAAACCGUGUACGUACAAGCAGUAGGAGCACCUUCGUGGUGUGACUGCGUACCUUUUGUAUAAUGGGUCAGCGACUUAUAUUCAGUGGCAAGGUUAACCAUCUAGGGGAGCCGUAGGGAAACCGAGUCUUAACUGGGCGCCAUAGUCUCUGGAUAUAGACCCGAAACCGAGUGAUCUAGCCAUGGGCAGGUUGAAGGUUGAGUAACAUCAACUGGAGGACCGAACCGACUAAUGUUGAAAAAUUAGCGGAUGACUUGUGGCUAGGGGUGAAAGGCCAAUCAAACUCGGAGAUAGCUGGUUCUCCCCGAAAGCUAUUUAGGUAGCGCCUCGGACGAAUACUACUGGGGGUAGAGCACUGUUAAGGCUAGGGGGUCAUCCCGACUUACCAACCCUUUGCAAACUCCGAAUACCAGUAAGUACUAUCCGGGAGACACACGGCGGGUGCUAACGUCCGUCGUGGAGAGGGA
rnacentral:rRNA from 1 species